UGGCGAGAACAGAACCAGUAAACAUGCAGGCGGGGACGCUUGCAUCCAGGCUAGCUCAUCGCAGGCACUGACCUCUGAGGUUAACAGUGCAAGGUAGACAGAGCCUCAGUGACAAGGCUGAGGAAGGAAAGAUUUGUCCCCGUGCAAUCAGACAGUUGCUCCAAAUCAAUAGAUCUAUCCUUCCGCCUACAUCUCUGAUCGGCUUGUUCCAGUCAUGGUGAGCGUCGGGCUUUUUUAAAAACAUUCGAGGUAUUUGACUUGACCUUGUGUACACUGGCAAGUUUUGUCGCCCAUAAACCCUUUUUGGUGACAAAACCCGGAGAGCGUUCGCAAUGCGACGCAACAAAAGUCACAACAAAAGUCCAGUUUUGGCAAUAAAAAAAUUCCACCUCCGCAAGGA